rnacentral:rRNA from 1 species
UGCAGUCGAGCGGUAACAGGGGUAGCUUGCUACCCGCUGACGAGCGGCGGACGGGUGAGUAAUGCAUAGGAAUCUGCCCGAUAGUGGGGGAUAACCUGGGGAAACCCAGGCUAAUACCGCAUACGUCCUACGGGAGAAAGGGGGCUCCGGCUCCCGCUAUUGGAUGAGCCUAUGUCGGAUUAGCUAGUUGGUGAGGUAAUGGCUCACCAAGGCAACGAUCCGUAGCUGGUCUGAGAGGAUGAUCAGCCACAUCGGGACUGAGACACGGCCCGAACUCCUACGGGAGGCAGCAGUGGGGAAUAUUGGACAAUGGGCGAAAGCCUGAUCCAGCCAUGCCGCGUGUGUGAAGAAGGCCUUCGGGUUGUAAAGCACUUUCAGCGAGGAAGAACGCCUAGUGGUUAAUACCCAUUAGGAAAGACAUCACUCGCAGAAGAAGCACCGGCUAACUCCGUGCCAGCAGCCGCGGUAAUACGGAGGGUGCAAGCGUUAAUCGGAAUUACUGGGCGUAAAGCGCGCGUAGGUGGCUUGAUAAGCCGGUUGUGAAAGCCCCGGGCUCAACCUGGGAACGGCAUCCGGAACUGUCAAGCUAGAGUGCAGGAGAGGAAGGUAGAAUUCCCGGUGUAGCGGUGAAAUGCGUAGAGAUCGGGAGGAAUACCAGUGGCGAAGGCGGCCUUCUGGACUGACACUGACACUGAGGUGCG